GCUCGUUAAAGUAUCGAGCCGAAAAAUUCAGCUCGUGUUCGGCUUAUUAAUAGACGAGCCGAACACGAGCUGGCCAACGAACAAUAAGUUAAAAGGGAUUAGAUUGAAUAUAUAUAUAAAAAAUAAAUUUAUAAAAUCUUAUCCAUUAGACUUUGAUCUAAUAGUUGAAACUUUACAUAUAAAUGAAUCUUUUAAUAAUUAAGCUCACAUUUAUAUUUUUAUUUUGGUAAAAAUUAAAUAAUAAAAUAAUAUAUUAUAUAUAUAAUUAUUUAUUUAUAUAUAAAAAUGUAAAUUAAAUAAAUUAUAUAAAUAUAAAAUAUAUGUAUUCAGCUGUUAGCGAGCCGAACAUGAGUGAGUUGACCCCAGCUCCUGUUCGGCUCGUGUAUUAAACGAGACAAAAAAUUCAGCUCGUGUUCAGCUGGUUUACUAAACGGGCGAUUCAAUCUUGAGCUCAUUUUGAGCCGAACACGAGCUGACUCGUGAACAGCGAGCUGGAUUGCCAUCCUUAGUUAUAACUUACUUUAUUUGUCAAUUCUGUAAAGUGACUUUCAUAUUUAUUUUCACAAACCAAUCAAUCGAUAAGACGUCACUUUCUAAGAAUAUCACUUUCAAUACUUCACUUUUGGCUAACCAAACAUAUCCUAAGUGCAAGUGAUUGAUUUCAUUAAUUUUUGUAAUGAGUCAAGUUGAUACUUUAAACAAUUUUUUGCAUAAUUUUUUUCCAUUUUUUGAUUUUUUAACUUAACUUGUCAGGGUUAUAUAUAUAGGGAUAAUUACCUAUAUACUCCUCAAAACUUCAAAAAUAUCUUAUAUACCCUACUUUUUUUUUUCUUUUUAAUAUACCCUCAUGCCUUCCUCCGUUAUUUCAAAAUGCCGCAGUAGUUACCACACAUUAAGUUAAUUUAGGUUAAACGUGAGUUAAAUAUCUACAGAGUUAAAAAAAUCAAAAUACCUCUUUUGUCCUUAACUUAAGGACAAAUAAGAAAUAUUGGUGAUUAUAAAAGGGUAUAUUUGGAAAGACAAAAAAGUAAAAUACUUUAUGCGCCCCUAGUUUAAGGGCAAAUAAGAAAAAUCGGUGAUGGUAGAAGGAUAUAUUUGAAAAGACAAAAUUAUAAUUUCAUAGAGAUAACAGAUAUUGUUAACAGUCCAUUAAGCUUUAGGGGUAUUUUUGAAAUAAGUUGGAACGUAAAAAUGAUAUUUUUAAUAUUAGCCUUCUAAGAAGGAUAAAUUAGAAAGUCGGAUAUUUUUCCAAAAAUAUAUAU
rnacentral:lncRNA from 1 species